rnacentral:rRNA from 1 species
UGCCCUAUCAACUUUCGAUGGUAAGGUAUUGGCUUACCAUGGUUUCAACGGGUAACGGGGAAUUAGGGUUCGAUUCCGGAGAGGGAGCCUGAGAAACGGCUACCACAUCCAAGGAAGGCAGCAGGCGCGCAAAUUACCCAAUCCCGACACGGGGAGGUAGUGACAAUAAAUACUGAUACAGGGCUCUUUUGGGUCUUGUAAUCGGAAUGAGUACAAUUUAAACCCCUUAACGAGGAACAAUUGGAGGGCAAGUCUGGUGCCAGCAGCCGCGGUAAUUCCAGCUCCAAUAGCGUAUAUUAAAGUUGUUGCAGUUAAAAAGCUCGUAGUUGAACCUUGGGCCUGGCUGGCCGGUCCGCCUCACCGCGUGUACUGGUCCGGCCGGGCCUUUCCUUCUGGAGAGCCCCAUGCCCUUCACUGGGUGUGCGGGGGAACCAGGACUUUUACUUUGAAAAAAUUAGAGUGUUCAAAGCAGGCCUUUGCUCGAAUACGUUAGCAUGGAAUAAUAGAAUAGGACGUGCGGUCCUAUUUUGUUGGUUUCUAGGACCGCCGUAAUGAUUAAUAGGGACAGUCGGGGGCAUCAGUAUUCAAUUGUCAGAGGUGAAAUUCUUGGAUUUAUUGAAGACUAACUACUGCGAAAGCAUUUGCCAAGGAUGUUUUCAUUAAUCAGUGAACGAAAGUUAGGGGAUCGAAGACGAUCAGAUACCGUCGUAGUCUUAACCGUAAACUAUGCCGACUAGGGAUCGGGCGAUGUUUCUAUCUUGACUCGCUCGGCACCUCACGAGAAAUCAAAG